rnacentral:misc_RNA from 1 species
UGACGUGUCAGUGCUUGUUGUACUAGGCUUCUUCCCUCUUCCUCACGUACAUGCACAAGGCAAGUAUACAAGCACGCAAGCACAUACACACGCGGACACCAACGCCCCAUCAUCCAACAUAGAUUGUACACCGCCGUGAGAGUUUUCUCUCCAGCACGGGCAGCGCUGCCACUGCAUGACCAACGUGCUCUUGUACAUCAGUGCCUCCCCCCUCCCCCUCCCCCCUUUUUUUUUGUGGCGCCCACCGCGAUAUAUGGGAGCUCGUUCUCCCUCCCUUCCCUUUCAUUGUGUUUUAUGCUUUCUCUGCCCUUACCAGCGCCCUCUUCCCCGUCGCACGCACCGACAUCCCUUCAUACGACCUGCCCUCUUUCUGUACCUGUGCGUGCGUGUGCCUGUGGAUCGCUUAGAGCACAUCGACCGGAUCGAUCCGCGACACAAUCCUGGGCCAUUACAUCGUUCUUCUUUGCCCGUUGUUCUUCUUGCCGACUCUCUCUUUCCUUCUCCCUGCUUGUUGCCUUCCUCCCUUUCCACGACUAAUUACGCUCUCUCGCAAAGCCACACACCCAACUUGCCACCCCUGGCAUUGUCGCGUCGGUGAGCAGCCGUUCCCCCCUCUCGUUUUCCCCCUUUUUUCCCCGUUUAAAUCCGUCAACCACUUCAUCUCACCGGAGGGGAGUCGCGUGCCGAGAUGUCUGCGACACGAGACGGUCCACGCUCGCACUCUGACGGCGGCUUCGAUGGCCGCUCGCUGUUGUCAGAGCAAACGAAGCUGCUGCGGGAGUCGACGCCGGCAGACAUCAACUUUAUUCAGUUCCUUAAGCUGCGGCUGAGUGCCCAGCAGCGAGCGACUGCGCAGCGCAACUACUGGCAGCGAGUGCAGCGGGAGGCUGCGGACAGUAUGAACCCAAACACGGCGCGUUGGCAGGGGCGAGGUGGCAUCCCUGCCUCCGCAGCACCGAUAUCGACGGCCGCUGCCAGCAGCGUGGAGGGCGCAUCCUUCAGCACCUACGAUGCGGAACACGUGAUCCUAGAACACUCGACCACAUCGUUCGGCACCUUGCCAAGGCAGGAUGCGCUCAUGCGGGCGACAUCUCACGGCGCCGUGACACCCCCGACUGUGCAUCAGCACUCCUUUGAGGACUUGCCAGCUGCAGUGCUGAAGCGCCGCGGCGCGCCUGCGUCGGAGUUGACGGACUUCGUCGCCGUGUCCACGACUGAGCCGAGCGAAGACGGGAACAGCAGCCAACGGCGCCCAUCUGGCCCACUGCCGGAGGAGGACGCGUACGUGUUGGCGCCGUUUAGUACGAGUAGCUACAGCGCGGCUGCUGCGGCCGCCAUCGAUGAGCGCCCAGCGAUGGCCUGCGGCAAGCCGCAGGUCCCCGUCGACGUGGACGAGAUGAAGGACGUGGAGCUGGAGCCGUGCCCGCACUGUGGUCGCACGUUUGCUCCGGCUCGACUGGAGCGGCACGUGGCCACAUGCGAGCGACACAAAAACACAUUGCCCAAAACAAAGGGCGACAUGAAGAGCGGCAGGGCGCGCAGCGGUCGCAAGAAGCCGGACCGAACCGCAGGCGGUGAUGGUGCCGCUGCCUCUGCGGAUGCCACGGCAAACGCUCCCGGUGCCGCACCGGGUGGGCCGCAGCGCUGGCCGACCGACACAGCCUUCAAGCCAGAGAAGUGGCGGAAGCAAAGUGCGCAGUUGCGCAACGCCAUGGCCGGCGCAUCCGUCGCGGUGGACGAUGAUCGGGUGCCGUGCCCAUCAUGCGGGCGGCACUUCUCCGAUGACGUCGCGGCACGGCACAUUCCGAUUUGCAAGUCGAAGGGGGGCCGUGCGGCGUAGCGGCGCCGGCGGUGGCGCACGACAACAAAGCAAAGUGAACAUGAUGCUCAUCUACCUGUGCGCGUGUGCGUGUGCGCGUGUGCGUGUGCGUGUGCGCGUGUGCGUGUGCGUGUGCGCGUGUGCGUGUGCGUGUGCGCGUGUGCGUGCGCAAUCUGUGCAGAUCAACGCUGAUGUCGCAUGCAUUUUCUUCUGUUUUCUGUUGUUUUUCAUCUCUCUUACGUGUAGAAGGGCGCAUGUUAUACUGAACACAUCGAAGUCAUUCGUCGCCCUCCCCUUGCCUUUGCUGUGGGUUGCGGCUCACACUGAUGCAACGUGUCAGCAGUGGCUGCACGAGCAUCAUUCAUCCACGUCGACAGCAACCACUCAUCUCCUUUCCCCCUUUGCCAUACAACGCCCCACCCCUCGCACGCUCUUGUUUCUCCGUUUCUAGUAUUCCAUCUUUCACCCUCUCGUGAGACUUACAGCCUCUGCGUACGCGUACGCAUGUGUGCGUGUGUGCUCCUCCGCAUGGCCCUUCGCCUUCUCCGGGUGGUGCUGCAUUUUUUUUUUUGCGUCCUCGCCAUGUGCGAAGUACUUGAGCGUCUGCGAGUGUGGUACUUGCUAAGAGCAAGAGAAGCGAACCGCACUCGUCGUCUUGUGCGCUUGGCGAGUUAUUCUCCACUCCGCAGCGGUGUUCUCCCAACAGUGUCGAUGCACGCGUGCGUAAGAGGCGUGUUGCAUCAUCGUACCCGAUGUGGGACUGGCUGCCGUGAAGGAAAAGAGCGGGAGGCGAGCGCAAGAUCGGAGGCAUAAAACGCGCUUGGGGGUGUAUUCAAAAUGUUUUGCCUCAGCAUCGCCUUUGUCUCGACUCUGUGUGUGUGUGUGUGAGAUCGCACGUCUCCGUAUUCUCCUCCGCUCUCCCCGGUCGGCUGCCCGCAUGCUCUCUAGGGUUGAGGCCAAAGCAGGCGCCUCAUGCUCAUACUUCCAUCCACCGCGCAGUCAUCAUCGCCAGCUCAACCCCUCACCUCUUUCGCUCUUGUUGCCUUGCGGCUCCAUCGCACAUGUGCCUUCCUUUCCCCUCAG